rnacentral:rRNA from 1 species
UACAGAGGUCCCAAGCGUUGUUCGGAUUCACUGGGCGUAAAGGGCGCGUAGGUGGCGGGGUAAGUUUGAUGUGAAAUCUCCGGGCUUAACCCGGAAAUGGCAUUGAAUACUAUUCUGCUGGAGGUUUGGAGGGGGGACUGGAAUUCUCGGUGUAGCAGUGAAAUGCGUAGAUAUCGAGAGGAACAACAGUGGCGAAGGCGAGUCCCUGGACAACACCUGACACUGAGGCGCGAAAGCUAGGGGAGCAAACAGG